GACGAACGCUGGCGGCGUGCUUAACACAUGCAAGUCGAACGGAAAGGCCCUGCUUUUGUGGGGUGCUCGAGUGGCGAACGGGUGAGUAACACGUGAGUAACCUGCCCUUGACUUUGGGAUAACUUCAGGAAACUGGGGCUAAUACCGGAUAGGAGCUCCUGCUGCAUGGUGGGGGUUGGAAAGUUUCGGCGGUUGGGGAUGGACUCGCGGCUUAUCAGCUUGUUGGUGGGGUAGUGGCUUACCAAGGCUUUGACGGGUAGCCGGCCUGAGAGGGUGACCGGCCACAUUGGGACUGGGGUACCGCCCAGACUCCUACGGGAGGCAACAGUGGGGAAUAUUGCACAAUGGGCGGAAGCCUGAUGCAGCAACGCCGCGUGCGGGAUGACGGCCUUCGGGUUGUAAACCGCUUUCGCCUGUGACGAAGCGUGAGUGACGGUAAUGGGUAAAGAAGCACCGGCUAACUACGUG
rnacentral:rRNA from 1 species